rfam:Erysipelotrichaceae bacterium 3_1_53 genomic scaffold supercont1.5, whole genome shotgun sequence.
CAUAUCGUGAGAUAUGGGAGAGAGGAAGCAAUAGCGAAAUCGUGGCCUAACGGACAGGAAGUCCGAUUCAACUGAUCGAGCGGCUGAUAAAAGGCGGUAUUGAUGGAUGAGGUGGCUAAAGACACUAAAGUCCAAAACGGAAAUCGUAAAUCAAUAGUGUAAAUCAGAUAGGUAAACGAGGAAAGGUAUGUGA